rnacentral:rRNA from 1 species
AUGCAUACAUUGUGCAUGAAUAGAGGGGGGAAGUUUAAGAGAAAUGGAAAGAAAAAUAUAGCUUAUUUCUUUGGAGUGGGUGUCUGGAAUAUACAAAGAAUUUGGAACAAAGCGAUGGAGCAAAUUGCUAAAGGUCUAGAGGUAGAUGUUUCAAGUAAGAGGAAAGGAAACUACGGAAGAAAGCCAAAAGACAUCAAUCUGGAGGAAAUCCCUACCAUCCCACUAAACAGAAAGUUUACUAUCAGGUCAUUAGUUUGGCAACUCAGAUGCAGCUCUACCACACUGCAUAGAAAGUUCAUGCUGAAGUUGAUUAAAAGGCAUACAAACUGUAUGAAGCCAAUUCUGAAGUAA